rnacentral:RNase_P_RNA from 1 species
AGCCGACCGGGUGAUCGCGGUGCGUUGCACUGAGGAAGGUCGGGGCUCCACAGAGCAGAAUGCUGGCUAACGGCCAGUCAAGGUGACUUGAAGGAAAGUGCCACAGAAAAUAGACCGCCGAUGAUUCGAUUUUCGAAAACAGGUAAGGGUGAAACGGUGCGGUAAGAGCGCACCAGCGAAUAGGGUGACCUAUUCGGCUUGGUAAACCCCAUUCGGAGCAAGGUCAAGCAGGGAGAGGAUUGCUCGUCCGAUGACACUCCCAGGUAGACCGCAUAGAUGGAUGAUCACCUAACCUAAUCCCAAGGAUUUGGUGGACAGAACCCCGCCUACAGGUCGGCUCAC